CCUACGGGAGGCAGCAGUGGGGAAUUUUGGACAAUGGGCGCAAGCCUGAUCCAGCCAUGCCGCGUGCGGGAAGAAGGCCUUCGGGUUGUAAACCGCUUUUGUCAGGGAAGAAAAGGUUCUGGCUAAUACCUGGGACUCAUGACGGUACCUGAAGAAUAAGCACCGGCUAACUACGUGCCAGCAGCCGCGGUAAUACGUAGGGUGCAAGCGUUAAUCGGAAUUACUGGGCGUAAAGCGUGCGCAGGCGGUUAUGCAAGACAGAGGUGAAAUCCCCGGGCUCAACCUGGGAACUGCCUUUGUGACUGCAUAGCUAGAGUACGGUAGAGGGGGAUGGAAUUCCGCGUGUAGCAGUGAAAUGCGUAGAUAUGCGGAGGAACACCGAUGGCGAAGGCAAUCCCCUGGACCUGUACUGACGCUCAUGCACGAAAGCGUGGGGAGCAAACAGGAUUAGAUACCCUGGUAGUCCACGCCCUAAACGAUGUCAACUGGUUGUUGGGAGGGUUUCUUCUCAGUAACGUAGCUAACGCGUGAAGUUGACCGCCUGGGGAGGACGGCCGCGAGUAGUUAACGUUACUAAUUAGAGUUGAGGNGNGNGAGNGCGACGGACGACGACGAGGGAGGAGG
rnacentral:rRNA from 1 species